GGCGAAAUGGCUUAGUUGGUUAAAGCGCCUAUCUAGUAAACAGGAGGUCGCAAGUUUGAAUCUCGUCGGUGCCU
rnacentral:tRNA from 1 species